UACGGAGGGUGCAAGCGUUAUCCGGAUUCACUGGGUUUAAAGGGUGCGUAGGUGGGUUGGUAAGUCAGUGGUGAAAUCUUCGAGCUUAACUCGGAAACUGCCAUUGAUACUAUCAAUCUUGAAUACUUUGGAGGUAAGCGGAAUAUGUCAUGUAGCGGUGAAAUGCUUAGAUAUGACAUAGAACACCAAUUGCGAAGGCAGCUUGCUACACAGUUAUUGACACUGAGGCACGAAAGCCAGGGGAGCAAACGGG
rnacentral:rRNA from 1 species